UACGUAGGGGGCAAGCGUUGUCCGGACUUAUUGGGCGUAAAGAGCGUGUAGGCGGCCAGACAGGUCCGUUGUGAAAACUGGAGGCUUAACCUUCAGACGUCGAUGGAAACCGUCUGGCUAGAGUCCGGAAGAGGAGAGUGGAAUUCCUGGUGUAGCGGUGAAAUGCGCAGAUAUCAGGAAGAACACCCGUGGCGAAGGCGGCUCUCUAGUACGGUACUGACGCUGAGACGCGAAAGCGUGGGGAGCGAACAGG
rnacentral:rRNA from 1 species